rnacentral:rRNA from 2 species
AGGUUAAGUUAACAAGGGCGCAUGGUGAAUGCCUUGGCACUAGGAGCCGAUGAAGGACGGGACUAACACCGAUAUGCUUCGGGGAGCUGUACGUAAGCUAUGAUCCGGAGAUUUCCGAAUGGGGCAACCCAGCAGUUUUAAUCAACUGUUACCACUAGAUGAAUUCAUAGUCUAGUUGGAGGUAAACGCUGUGAACUGAAACAUCUCAUUAGCAGCAGGAAUAUAAAGAAAUUUCGAUUCCCUAAGUAGCGGCGAGCGAACGGGGAACAGCCCAAACCAAAGUGCUUGCACUUUGGGGUUGUAGGACUGAACAUUUGAGUUACCAAAGAACUUGAUAGUCGAAGGAUUUGGGAAAAUCCGCCAUAGAUGGUGAUAGCCCAGUAGAUUAAAUCAAAUUCUCUCAGUUCAGGAUCCUGAGUACGGCGGAACACGUGAAAUUCCGUCGGAAUCCGGGAGGACCAUCUCCCAAGGCUAAAUACUACCUAGUGACCGAUAGUGAACCAGUACCGUGAGGGAAAGGUGAAAAGCACCCCGGGAGGGGAGUGAAAUAGUUCCUGAAACCAUGUGCCUACAAUAAGUCAGAGCGCGUUAAUGCGUGAUGGCGUGCCUUUUGUAGAAUGAACCGGCGAGUUAUGAUCCCGUGCAAGGUUAAGACUAAAAAGUCGGAGCCGUAGCGAAAGCGAGUCUGAAAUGGGCGUUUUGAGUACGAGGUUAUAGACCCGAAACCAGGUGACCUAUCCAUGUCCAGGUUGAAGGUGCGGUAAAACGCACUGGAGGACCGAACCCGUGUAAGUUGAAAAUUGCUGGGAUGAGGUGUGGAUAGCGGUGAAAUUCCAAACGAACUUGGAGAUAGCUGGUUCUCUCCGAAAUAGCUUUAGGGCUAGCCUCGGAAUUAGGAUCAUGGAGGUAGAGCACUAUUUGGACUAGGGGCCCGUCUUGGGUUACUGAAUUCAGAUAAACUCCGAAUGCCAUUGAUUCAUAUCCGGGAGUCAGACGAUGAGUGAUAAGAUCCACCGUCGAAAGGGGAACAGCCCAGACCAUCAGUUAAGGUCCCUAAAUGUAUGCUAAGUGGAAAAGGAUGUGGAGUUGCAUAGACAACUAGGAUGUUGGCUCAGAAGCAGCCACCAUUUAAAGAGUGCGUAAUAGCUCACUAGUCGAGUGAUCCUGCGCCGAAAAUGUACCGGGGCUAAGCAUACUACCGAAACCAUGGAUGCGACCAUUAGGUCGCGUGAUAGGAGAGCGUUCUAAGGGCGGUGAAGCAAGAUCGUGAGGACUUGUGGAGCGCUUAGAAGUGAGAAUGCCGGUAUGAGUAGCGAAAGAUAGGUGAGAAUCCUAUCCACCGAAUGACUAAGGUUUCCUGGGGAAGGCUCGUCCUCCCAGGGUUAGUCGGGACCUAAGUCGAGGCCGAGAGGCGUAGACGAUGGAUAACAGGUUGAGAUUCCUGUACUAGUUAAGUGCGUUUGAGCAAUGGAGGGACGCAGGAGGCUAAGAUGUGCAUUCUGUUGGAUUAGAAUGUCCAAGCAGUAAGUCUUGUGAAGAGUCAAAUGCUUUUCACUUUAAGGACAAGCUGUGAUGGGGAGCGAAAUUUAGUAGCGAAGCGUCUGAUGUCACACUGCCGAGAAAAGCUUCUAGUGAGUACUUAACUACCCGUACCGCAAACCGACACAGGUAGUCGAGGAGAGAAUCCUAAGGUGAGCGAGUGAACUCUCGUUAAGGAACUCGGCAAAAUGACCCCGUAACUUCGGGAGAAGGGGUGCUGAUCGCAAGAUCAGCCGCAGUGAAUAGGCCCAGGCGACUGUUUAUCAAAAACACAGGUCUCUGCAAAAUCGUAAGAUGACGUAUAGGGGCUGACGCCUGCCCGGUGCUGGAAGGUUAAAAGGAUGGGUUAGCUUCGGCGAAGCUCAGAAUUGAAGCCCCAGUAAACGGCGGCCGUAACUAUAACGGUCCUAAGGUAGCGAAAUUCCUUGUCGGGUAAGUUCCGACCCGCACGAAAGGCGUAACGAUCUGGGCACUGUCUCAACGAGAGACUCGGUGAAAUUAUAUUGUCCGUGAAGAUGCGGACUACCCGCGACAGGACGGAAAGACCCCAUGGAGCUUUACUGUAGCUUGAUAUUGAGUGUUUGUACAGCUUGUACAGGAUAGGUAGGAGCCAUAGAAACCGGAACGCUAGUUUCGGUGGAGGCGUUGGUGGGAUACUACCCUCGCUGUAUGACCACUCUAACCCGCACCACUAAUCGUGGUGGGAGACAGUGUCAGGUGGGCAGUUUGACUGGGGCGGUCGCCUCCUAAAAAGUAACGGAGGCGCCCAAAGGUUCCCUCAGAAUGGUUGGAAAUCAUUCGCAGAGUGUAAAGGCACAAGGGAGCUUGACUGCGAGACAGACAGGUCGAGCAGGGACGAAAGUCGGGCUUAGUGAUCCGGUGGUACCGUAUGGAAGGGCCAUCGCUCAACGGAUAAAAGCUACCCUGGGGAUAACAGGCUUAUCUCCCCCAAGAGUCCACAUCGACGGGGAGGUUUGGCACCUCGAUGUCGGCUCAUCGCAUCCUGGGGCUGUAGUCGGUCCCAAGGGUUGGGCUGUUCGCCCAUUAAAGCGGUACGCGAGCUGGGUUCAGAACGUCGUGAGACAGUUCGGUCCCUAUCCGUCGCGGGCGUAGGAAAUUUGAGAGGACCUGUCCUUAGUACGAGAGGACCGGGAUGGACAUACCKCUGGUGUACCAGUUGUGCCGCYAGGCGCAUCGCUGGGUAGCUAUGAACGGAAGGGAUAAACGCUGAAAGCAUCUAAGUGUGAAGCCCCCCUCGAGAUGAGAUUUCCCAUUCCUAUAUGGAAGUAAGACCCCUGAAAGAUGAUCAGGUAGAUAGGCUGGAAGUGGAAGUGCAGCGAUGCAUGGAGCGGACCAGUACUAAUCGGUCGAGGACUUAACCAAG